GACGGAGGAUGCAAGUGUUAUCCGGAAUCACUGGGCGUAAAGCGUCUGUAGGUGGUUUAAUAAGUCAACUGUUAAAUCUUGAGGCUCAACCUCAAAAUCGCAGUCGAAACUAUUAGGCUAGAGUAUAGUAGGGGUAAAGGGAAUUUCCGGUGGAGCGGUGAAAUGCGUAGAGAUUGGAAAGAACACCGAUGGCGAAGGCACCUUACUGGGCUAUUACUAACACUCAGAGACGAAAGCUAGGGUAGCAAAUGGG
rnacentral:rRNA from 1 species